AAUUUAAUAUUCUUACGAUUGGAGUACUAAACUAAGAUUCAGAAUAUAUUUUAAAUAAAUUUGAUGCUUAUUAUGAGUUUAUGAUAUAUUUGAGGAUAUAUAAGAACUUAUAAAACAUUUGAAACAAGUAAUACUUAAAUACAGUAUGUAUUUUUGUGUGUAUAUAAUAGCUAUAUCGUCGAUUUAACAGAUAUAUAUAUAGCUUUGAGAAGAUAAUUCGCUUCUAACUCUUAUACUUGAAACAACAAACUAUACGUCACAGCCAAAGCACUGGUGAAGACGCCAAAUUGUCUUGCGUCGGAAAGCGAAUUAAAACCUACAUAGAAAUAUCCGACGACGGCGUCAUUCGAGAGCUUCCGACGGACUGACUACAGUGACGACGCGUGUCACGGGGGAAGGGUGCGGUGAAAAGCGAGUACAAGUGGCUGAGAGAUAGAAUCGGUGCCUAAUUCUCGUUAAUUGAUUCAGAACGAUUUUUAAAUGUUUUUUUUUGAUAAAAUAAAUAAUAUUUGCGUAUGGAACUAAAGAGCCGCAGCUUCACAUCCAAAGAGCCGCAUGUGGCUCGCGAGCCGCAGGUUGCCGAUCCCUGGCCUAAACACAUUCACAGUGAAGCAAAAAUCGUUUGCAUUGCUGCGUAUAUUGCUGCAUCGAUAUUUAACGAAGGCUACAAUGCGGUGUUAAUGAUAAUGAACAAAUUGGAUAUCGAAAUUGAGAUCCAGGCACACAAUUUGGCCAUAAUGAAGGACGAGAAGCGAAUAAACAGACAGACCCGCCGAAGCUAUAGCAGCUCAAAAGAGGCAAGAACGGCUCGUAGGAUGGAGAUGAUGGCUCAAAACGAGUUCUACGAAAAAGCGGAGGGGCUACUUUAUGCAGCUGGAAUCGCUGAUUAGCGUGAGACUGCCAUCAAAAUUAAGGACGCUAUAGUGUACACAGCGGAGACACUCCAUAAGCGAAGCAAUAUUAAUAUGGCGUCCGUUUUUAUAGAACUUCAGAUCAGCUAUGGAAGUGUGCAAUCAAUCAUUCGCAAUGAGUUGGGAUUUCGAAAAGUGUCGGCUCGUUGGUUUCCAAAGUUGCUGAAUGCAGAAAUUGGCAAAAAUUGGCCGAUAUGCACUGGGCUGUCCAAGAACAUCCACCCUACAACCCAGACCUGUCACCAUGCGACUUCCAUAUGUUUGGAUUCCUCAAGGAAGCCCUUGGUAGACAGCGCUUUACAACGAACGAGGAGAUGCAGCAGUUCAUGUGCGGUUAGUUUGAUACACGUCCGCGAACUUUUUAUGAUACUGUGAUUAAAAAAUUAC